rnacentral:lncRNA from 13 species
GUCCCACUAGAACAAACAUAAUUUACUGGAUCCCUUGAAAAGUUUACAGGCCCAUUUUCACAUAUCAGCAGCCACUACCUCAAUCUCUAAACUUCUCAUGGCAUGGAUUCCUAGGAAAGAGGAUCUUAACUCCUACAGUUUUUUUUUCAAGCUGUAAACUCUGCAGCUUUUCUUCAGAUGGGUACCUGGUGACAGGCCUGCCACUGGUUUUUAUGAAUACCAGAGCAAGAGUGCAAUUGAAGAUCCCCUUAUCUUCCUAAACCCUGUCUCAGUCUUGCAUCCACAAGGAGACUUGCACAGAAAUGCCUCUAGACCAGGACUGGAAUCUACACCCUUGGCUCUUCGGCUCUCAGACCUUCAAACUCUUAUCACCAGCUUUACUGGGUCUCCAGCUUGUACAUGACAGAUUAUGGGACUUCUCAGCCUCUGUAAUUGAAAGAGUCGAUACUUUAUAGUAAAUAUCUUUAUAUAUAUUCAUGCUUCUCAUUCUGUGUUUCUGGCAAACCCUAAUACUUCUUAAAGUCUGAAGUUUAUAGUGUUCAUUUAUGUAUCCAUGAACUCAAAGGACUGCGGAAGGUGGGUUACUUCCUGUAGGUCAUUUUUCAAGAGAAAGCAAAGAUAAACAUAAAGGAAAAGGGAGUUGCUUGAUCAGAAAACUAACAUUAAUUCUUGUUAAUUUUUCUGUUGAUAUUACUUUCUUCUUUCAAAAGAUGAGUUUAAAUUUAUAUUUUAUGAUUCCUAUGUGUGCAUAAACACAUUUUUUUCAAAUUGAGUUCUAAGAUCACCAUCUGUGUCCUGUGGCAUUCUAGACAAGGUCUACACCACUUCACUGCAGGAAGAAGAAGCCACCAAGAAAAGAGACAGGAUUUAUUGGAAGUACAAGGUGAGAGUUCACUGCCCACUGGGGGUCUUUUUUUUUUUUUCUCAUCUAAGAAGUUCAAAGAUUAUAGGCUGGUUGAACUUCCAGGACCCAGGCUGCUUCUUCCUCCAGCCCUGUGAUUCCUAGUAUGCUGGCUUUGUGUCUCUCUCUAUGUUCUCCCCAUGUAGCUAGCAGCUGCUGCCUGUAUCAGUCAGGAUUCAGUCAGAGAAACAAAGCCACUACAAGUGAUUUAAAAAAUGCACUAGGCCUGCAUUGUCCAAUAUUGUAGCGACUAGCCACAUCUGGUUAUUUAAAUUUAAAUUAAUUAACAUUAAAUAAGAGUAACAACUUAGCUCCUCUGCUGCACUAGGUAUGUUUCAAAUGUGGCUAUUAUAUUCGGCAGCUCAGGUAUAAAACACUUCCAUCAUCACAGAAAGUUCUGCUGGACAGUGCUGCCUUCGAGCUUGCAGGGUGUGAGAGCUGGUGGAGGAGUCCCGGCAUCCUGGCAUGGCUGUUUGUUGUCUUUGGUUCUAAUGUUGAAUCUGAAGUCACUAUAGAUCAGCCAGGAUGGCAGUCAAGGUAGAAAGUUGGAUGUG